rnacentral:rRNA from 2 species
UGGGCGUAAGCGCGCGCAGGCGGUUUCUUAAGUCUGAUGUGAAAGCCCACGGCUCAACCGUGGAGGGUCAUUGGAAACUGGGGAACUUGAGUGCAGAAGAGAAAAGCGGAAUUCCACGUGUAGCGGUGAAAUGCGUAGAGAUGUGGAGGAACACCAGUGGCGAAGGCGGCUUUUUGGUCUGUAACUGACGCUGAGGCGCGAAAGCGUGGGGAGCAAACAGGAUUAGAUACCCUGGUAGUCCACGCCGUAAACGAUGAGUGCUAAGUGUUAGAGGGUUUCCGCCCUUUAGUGCUGCAGCUAACGCAUUAAGCACUCCCGCCCUGGGGAGUACGGUCGCAAGACUGAAACUCAAAGGGAAUUGGACGGGGGG